rnacentral:rRNA from 1 species
UACGAAGGGGGCUAGCGUUGCUCGGAAUCACUGGGCGUAAAGGGUGCGUAGGCGGGUCUUUUAAGUCAGGGGUGAAAUCCUGGAGCUCAACUCCAGAACUGCCUUUGAUACUGAGGAUCUUGAGUUCGGGAGAGGUGAGUGGAACUGCGAGUGUAGAGGUGAAAUUCGUAGAUAUUCGCAAGAACACCAGUGGCGAAGGCGCUCACUGGCCCGAUACUGACGCUGAGGCACGAAAGCGUGGGGGAGCAAACAGG